UACGUAGGGGGCUAGCGUUGUCCGGAUUUAUUGGGCGUAAAGAGCGUGUAGGCGGCCAGACAGGUCCGUUGUGAAAACUCGAGGCUCAACCUCGAGAUGUCGAUGGAAACCGUCUGGCUAGAGUCCGGAAGAGGAGUGUGGAAUUCCUGGUGUAGCGGUGAAAUGCGCAGAUAUCAGGAAGAACACCUAUGGCGAAGGCAGCACUCUGGGACGGUACUGACGCUGAGACGCGAAAGCGUGGGGAGCGAACAGG
rnacentral:rRNA from 1 species